AUUGAACGCUGGCGGCAGGCCUAACACAUGCAAGUCGAACGAGUGGCGGACGGGUGAGUAAUGUCUGGGAAACUGCCUGAUGGAGGGGGAUAACUACUGGAAACGGUAGCUAAUCCCGCAUCCCAUCAGAUGUGCCCAGAUGGGCUUAUCUAGUUGGUGGGGUAACGGGUCACCAGGGCGACGAUCCCUAGCUGGGCUGAGAGGAUGACCAGCAACACUGGAAAUAAGACACGGGCGAGACGCCUACGGGAGGCAGCAGUGGGGAAAAUUGCACAAUGGGCGCAAGGCUGAUGAAGCCAUGCCGCGUGUAUGAAGAAGGCCGUCGGGGUGUAAAGUACUUUAAGCGGGGAGGCGUUAGCCGCAGAAGAAGCACCGGCUAACUCCGUGCCAGCAGCCGCGGUAAUUC
rnacentral:rRNA from 1 species